GUGGAUGUAGUUCAGUUGGUUAGAACGCUUGAUUGUGGUUCAAGAGGUCGUGGGUUCGAGUCCCAUCUUCCACCCA
rnacentral:tRNA from 1 species